GGGGGUGAACGGUCUCGACGGGGGUCGCCGAGGGCAGGGUUGCGCGCCGAGGUGCGGGUGGCCUCGUAGGUACGCCCAAAAGGGCGUGACCGUAAAAACCCGCAACGGCAUAACUGCCAACACUGGCUACGCUCUCGCGGCCUAAGGACCGCGACCCCGCCCGGUAGCCCAGCCGGGGGCUCACCGGAAGCGGGGACACAAACCCGGCUAGCCCGGGGCCACGCCCUCUAACCUCGGGCGAAGCCUAAAGAGGGCUCGCUCCUGGCCGCCUGCCUCCGGGCAAAGCCAGGAGGACUUCCCAAACGGAGGCUACGCGCGUAGAGGCCCGCCGUAGGGACCUUCGGACGGGGGUUCAACUCCCCCCACCUCCACCA
rnacentral:tmRNA from 1 species